rnacentral:rRNA from 1 species
GGAGGGUGCGAGCGUUAAUCGGAAUUACUGGGCGUAAAGCGCGCGUAGGCGGCCUGAUCAGUCGGAUGUGAAAGCCCUGGGGCUUAACCUGGGAAUUGCACUCGAUACUGUCAGGCUAGAGUAUGGGAGAGGGAAGUGGAAUUUCCGGUGUAGCGGUGAAAUGCGUAGAUAUCGGAAGGAACACCAGUGGCGAAGGCGACUUCCUGGCCCAAUACUGACGCUCAGGUGCGAAAGCGUGGGUAGCGAACAGGAUUAGAUACCCUGGUAGUCCACGCCGUAAACGAUGAGAACUAGAUGUCGGGAGGAUUUACCUCUCGGUGUCGCAGCUAACGCGUUAAGUUCUCCGCCUGGGGAGUACGCCGGCAACGGUAA